CAGGAUCCUGUGUAACUGACUGUUCCUUUUGCCACCGAUUUGGGUUCUGUGAAACAUCCAGAGGUCUGAAAAAGGCUCCAGAAAUGAAAAUAUCAGUACCACAUGCCAACAUUUUCAAAAAAAGGAUUUCUGAAGAAAAAAUUGCUGGAACCAGGAUUAACUUAAGAAAGCAACACACAGAAUUAAAUGAGGAUUUGGAUUUCUCACUAUUCUGAAGGCAACAGCAGCAUUAUUACUUAUAAAAAUAGUGUGUAUAUUUGUUGGGAGGUGUUGGGGAUAAUCUCUUGUAUGUAGUACCUUUUUAAUUAUGGAAGUUUUCAUCAGUGGUAAAUUGGUUUGAGGUACAGUUAGUUGGAAGGUGAAGUAGUCAGGUACGUACUGGGUAUGACACUUAUUUGGUAAAGGUACAAUAAUAAUGAUAAAAAUUGUGAUGUGAGCUUGUUGCACUGAAAAUCUUUGUAAUAAUAAGAUUAGAGGUCACUCAGGGAAUUUAACCGUCAACUUGAAGCAUGCUAUGAUAGGCAGAGAUCCUAUGUAGCAUCUUGAUAGAGAUUCUUAUUUCUCGAAGCCACAUUGUAAACUAUGCUCAAAAUUAGGACUAUGACAUAAGUUUGAUAGUGGGAAAAUGAUAAAGGAGAGGAUAUGUUUAAGCAAAACAGGUCCUAAAGAGCAAAGGCUAAUGUCAGGUUCCAAGAGACAAAAUGGAACACAGCAAUGUGAAAUAAGGAAUUGUCAAUUGAUGAACUUCAGAAUGAGAACCACUAAAUUUCCUCAAUCCCUCAAUGUAUCUCUUUCUCAGACCUCCUUGUCACCUCAAUUUUGUCUGUCUAGAAAACCCAUUUAUCAUCAUUUAUGAAUCAGUAAAGAUUCAUACCACUAUGUGAAUAAAGCCAUUCACAAAAAUGGCAACCAAGAGUAUUUCCCAAAGUUGUGCCCACUGAGAUAGAUCUCCGUUAUGUCCUUUAUUUAUUAUCUUCAUGGUCAUUGGUAUGUGGAGCUGUAAGGUAGCCUACAUUAUUUUAAUACCUGAGUCAAGGUCGAGGAUUUUAUUAACAAAUAUGGAGCUAAUUAGUGGAAGGUUGAAGGCUAUAUCUAGAGGUAGACAGGUUAAGAGUCAAUUUUCUAUUUUCAUGUAUAUUUCAACUCCUCAGUGAAUG
rnacentral:lncRNA from 10 species